rnacentral:rRNA from 1 species
UACGGGGGGGGCAAGCGUUGUUCGGAAUUAUUGGGCGUAAAGAGCGUGUAGGCGGCCCGGUAAGUCCGCUGUGAAAGUCCAGGGCUCAACCCUGGAAUGCCGGUGGAAACUGUCGGGCUAGAGUCCGGAAGAGGCGAGUGGAAUUCCUGGUGUAGCGGUGAAAUGCGCAGAUAUCAGGAGGAACACCAAUGGCGAAGGCAGCUCGCUGGGACGGUACUGACGCUGAGACGCGAAAGCGUGGGGAGCAAACAGG